rnacentral:rRNA from 1 species
AUUGAACGCUGGCGGCAGGCCUAACACAUGCAAGUCGAACGAGUGGCGGACGGGUGAGCAAUGUCUGGGAACCUGCCUGAUGGAGGGGUCUAACUACUGGAAACCGUGGCUAAUACCGCAUACGAUCCGAUCUGCCCAGGUUGGAUUAGCUAGUUGGUGGGGUAACGGCUCACCAAGGCGACGAUGCCUAGCUGGUCUGAGAGGCUGACCGGCCACACUGGGACUGAGACACGGUCCAGACUCCUACGGGAGGCAGCAGUGGGGAAUAUUGGACAAUGGGCGAAAGCCUGAUCGAGCCAUGCCGCGUGUGUGAAGAAGGCCUUCGGGUUGUAAAGUACUUUCGGCGGGGAGGCGUUACCCGCAGAAGAAGCAACGGCUAACUCCGUGCCAGCAGCCGCGGUAAUAC